rnacentral:rRNA from 1 species
GUCGAACGCUGGCGGCGUGCCUAAUACAUGCAAGUCGAACGCAGUGGGGACGGGUGAGUAACACGUGGGUAACCUCCCAUCAGAGGGGAUAACACUUGGAAACAGGUGCUAAACCGAUCCUGAUGGAUGGAACCGCGGUGCAUUAGCUAGUUGGUGAGGUAACGGCCCACCAAGGCCACGAUGCAUAGCCGCCCUGAGAGGGUGAUGGGGCACACUGGGACUGAGAGACGGCCCAGACGCCUACGGGAGGCAGCAGUAGGGAAGCUUCGGCAAUGGACGAAAGUCUGACGGAGCAACGCCGCGUGAGUGAAGAAGGUUUUCGGGUCGUAAAACUCUGUUGGUAGAGAAGCGGUAUCUAAACAAUAAGCCACGGCUAACUCCGUGCCAGCAGCCGCGGUAAUAC